GAUGAACGCUGGCGGCGUGCCUAAUACAUGCAAGUCGAGCGAACAGACGAGGAGCUUGCUCCUCUGACGUUAGCGGCGGACGGGUGAGUAACACGUGGAUAACCUACCUAUAAGACUGGGAUAAGUUCGGGAAACCGGAGCUAAUACCGGAAAAUAUAUUGAACCGCAUGGUUCAAUAGUGAAAGACGGUUUUGCUGGCACUUAUAGAUGGAUCCGCGCCGCAUUAGCUAGUUGGUAAGGUAACGGCUUACCAAGGCAACGAUGCGUAGCCGACCUGAGAGGGUGAUCGGCCACACUGGAACUGAGACACGGUCCCGACUCCUACGGGAGGCAGCAGUAGGGAAUCUUCCGCAAUGGGCGAAAGCUUGACGGAGCAACGCCGCGUGAGUGAUGAAGGUCUUCGGAUCGUAAAACUCUGUUAUUAGGGAAGAACAAAUGUGUAAGUAACUAUGCACGUCUUGACGGUACCUAAUCAGAAAGCCACGGCUAACUACGUG
rnacentral:rRNA from 1 species